GAUGAACGCUGGCGGCGUGCCUAAUACAUGCAAGUCGAGCGAACAGAUGAGGAGCUUGCUCCUCUGACGUUAGCGGCGGACGGGUGAGUAACACGUGGAUAACCUACCUAUAAGACUGGGAUAACUUCGGGAAACCGGAGCUAAUACCGGAUAAUAUAUUGAACCGCAUGGUUCAAUAGUGAAAGACGGUUUUGCUGUCACUUAUAGAUGGAUCCGCGCCGCAUUAGCUAGUUGGUAAGGUAACGGCUUACCAAGGCAACGAUGCGUAGCCGACCUGAGAGGGUGAUCGGCCACACUGGAACUGAGACAGGGUCCAGACUCCUACGGGAGGCGGCAGUAGGGAAUCUUCCGCAAUGGGCGAAAGCCUGACGGAGCAACGCCGCGUGAGUGAUGAAGGUCUUCGGAUCGUAAAACUCUGUUAUUAGGGAAGAACAAAUGUGUAAGUAACUAUGCACGUCUUGACGGUACCUAAUCAGAAAGCCACGGCUAACUACGUG
rnacentral:rRNA from 1 species